UACGUAGGGGGCAAGCGUUGUCCGGAUUUAUUGGGCGUAAAGAGCUCGUAGGUGGUUCGGUAAGUCGGAUGUGAAAUCUCCAGGCUCAACCUGGAGGGGUCAUUCGAAACUGCCUCGCUAGAGUCCGGAAGAGGAGAGUGGAAUUCCGUGGUGUAGCGGUGGAAUGCGCAGAUAUCAGGAAGAACACCCGUGGCGAAGGCGGCUCUCUGGGACGGUACUGACGCUGAGACGCGAAAGCGUGGGAGCG
rnacentral:rRNA from 1 species